CUAAUAUGGCUUCAAUGUAGGCUUUGAUAAAACAUUUAUUUCCCUAAUGCUGUGUUUGCAAAUUUUACUGUAGUUGGUUUGUAUUGUAAUGCUACUUUGUCGAGUACAAUUGGCUAAUCACCACGAUAAACUGUUUUAUAUGUCCAUUUCAGUGCUGAACCUGUGAACAUGCUAACUGCAUCAUAGAGUGGAGCUGGAUUUCUGAUACAGAUAUUGAUUACUGAUUACAAGGCAUCUUCUACUGUACCUGAUGUAGAAAAGACCCUUGAACUACCUGCAAUUCCUUGACUGAUACUUUUUGGAGAAAAACCAGGAAGCUACAUUCAUAAAUGGAUGAUCAUUUUUGAGGGGCAAAUAAUCUGUAAAAGCAUCCAGCCAAUUUUUCUGUCUGGUAUAGCGGCUGUGUUUUCAUCUUACGACAUUUUCAAUGUGGAGAACCAAGCUGAGGCUGCAUGCACAUUGGAAUUAAUUCAGAGAAGCUUCAUGGGUAAACCCUGAAAAAGGCUCCAAGAGUGGACACAUCCUAUCGAAGGGAAUGGGGAAGGUCACCCACAAAAAUAAUUGUCAACACUAAGGUUGCCAGUUUACUUAAAGAAGCUAUUGGACUUUGAGUGGGAUGUCAUAUAAGUGACACCACACACACACACACACACACACACACACACACACACACACACACACACCUUACACAUCCUCUUCACUAAUGGCACUCAUUUUAUUGUGUUAGUCGCGUACUUUUUUUCAGGUGUUUGUUCUUGAAUACCUAAACUGUUCAUUGUAUUCUUUUUUAUUUCUUACUAACUAAUUCUGUAAUUCACUUAGAAGUUUUCAGAGUAGUAAUCGUUGUAGUAAUUCCACUUUAUUUUCCAUUGCCAGUAAUUUUGAAAUAUUUAAAUGUAAUAAGAUGUAAUAAAACUUGAAGUUACACUGCAUUUUUUAGUUUUAGCAUUGUUUCCAAUAAGGCUAUAUGUGUGCAUUGUAUUAAACUGUGUUUUUAUAACAAAUAAAAAAUGUAUAUAUACCUGUUUUCUUAGCAGUUUAUUUCUCAGGAUAACAUAUUUGUAGUUUACAGUUAAAAAUUCAAAUAAACAUUAAUUAACCGUUACUUUUGACAGUAAAUUACUGUUAAUGUAGAAAAUAACAGCUUUUUGCUGUAUUUUUAAAAAACAGUAACAACCUGUAAAUUUCAACUACAGCUAGAUGCUGUUAAUUUAACAGUAACUUGCUGGCAACUGUGCUGCCAGUAACUUGCUGUUUUUUAACGGGACAAUUU